AUGGAUGCCCUGCAUACUCCCAUCGCAGGAGAAACUCCCGAGGCUCGCGCCUUGGAGGAGGCACGUUUGGCCAAUUUGGCCGAACGCGCUCGUCUGGAGAAUUUUCAGCGAGCACUCGACGAGCGCGCGUCAACGAGUUCCCGACGCCAAUCGACGUCAACUCUUCCCGCCGACUCAGGUAUAUCGAACCCCAAUCCAGAAUUUAGCAGCUGCGACCCGUAUAGCAGAAUCCAUCCAGCCCUCUCAGUCGGAAGCUGGCAGAGGCUUGAUGCAGAUCAAGGAUUUGCUCCGGGCAGCAGGGGACCAGAAUUCAGCCGUGUCGCAGUCGCGCAACAGAAUUCACAGUCGAUCCGUCGCUGCGAAUACGGUUCAGUCGGCUCACAGUCCCAGAUCGCCUCCGCGGCGUGA
rnacentral:rRNA from 1 species